CAGUCGCCGCGGUAAUACGUAGGGGGCAAGCGUUGUCCGGAAUCAUUGGGCGUAAAGCGCGUGUAGGCGGCUCGAUAAGUCUGCUGUGAAAGUCCAGGGCUCAACCCUGGAAUGCCGGUGGAAACUGUCGAGCUCGAGUCCGGAAGAGGCAAGUGGAAUUCCUGGUGUAGCGGUGAAAUGCGCAGAUAUCAGGAGGAACACCAAUGGCGAAGGCAGCUUGCUGGGACGGUACUGACGCUGAGACGCGAAAGCGUGGGGAGCAAACAGGAUUAGAUACCCCCGUAGUCCCUGUCUCUUAUAC
rnacentral:rRNA from 1 species